rnacentral:rRNA from 1 species
UUGUAAUUGGAUGAUAGAAUUUAAACCCUUUUUAAAGUAUCAUUGGAGGGCAAGUCUGGUGCCAGCAGCCGCGGUAAUUCCAGCUCCAAUAGCGUAUAUUAAAAUUGUUGCAGUUAAAAAGCUCGUAGUUGAAGUUCUGCUAAAAGUAACCGGUCUGCUUUUAAUAAAGGUGGUAUCUUGGUGUGUAUUUAGCAAUGAUGUCCUUUGAAGUGUUUUUUACUUUAUUGUAAUAAAGCAUAUUCAGGACUUUUACUUUGAGAAAAUUAGAGUGUUUCUAGCAGGCUAACGCUUUGAAUACUGCAGCAUGGAAUAAUAAGAUAGGAUUUUAGUUCUACAUUAUUGGUUUUAAGAGCUAAAUUAAUGAUUGAUAGGGACAGUUGGGGGCAUUUGUAYUUAACUGUCAGAGGUGAAAUUCUUAGAUUUGUUAAAGACAAACUACUGCGAAAGCAUUUGCCAAAGAUGUUUUCAUUAAUCAAGAACGAAAGUUAGGGGAUCGAAGACGAUCAGAUACCGUCGUAGUCUUAACUAUAAACUAUGCCGA